AUACUUACCUGGUCACGAGAACCAUGAUCACAAAGGUGGCUUUCCCAGGGCAAGGUUUAUCCAUUGCAUUCCGGAUGUGCUGACCCCUGAGAUUUCUCCAAAUGUGGGAAACUCGACUGCAUAAUUUGUGGUAGUGGAGGACUGUGUUCCCUCUCUCCCCUG